UUUUCUUUCUGCACCUCUAGAACGUUAUUCUUGUUCAUAGUAUCACCAUGGUUGUGAUGAUUGUCAUGAUUAACGUUCAUUACAAGAAUGUUGGUUCUUUAACACCCUUGUUAUUAGGAGGGUAUUGGUAGCAAUGAGGCAUUUGAGGCGUGAGGACAGCAUUUUACAUUUAAUUGAUUAUAUAAAUGGAAAAUUAACUUGCAUGAAUUGCUCAAUUGUUUGUCAAAUCUAAAGUCAUUCAUGCGUUCCUCUUGGUAGGAGAAUUUGGUUAUGAAUAGGAGGAGUGAAUCUUUACUGCAGGUUUUAUAUAUAUAUUAUUUUUAAUGUUGCUUCUUGGAUUUGCAUUGUGAUAAAAUCCUGGUUCUAGUCUCUAAUAUAUAUUUCUGUGGAGCCAACAAUCUACAGUUCAUGCUUUUCUUGUUUGGAUUUGUAGUAUGAUUAUUCUGCCCUUAGAGCCAUUUUAGAUUUAAUUUCCACGAAUGCUAAACCAAGUACUAUUAACAUCAUUAUU